rnacentral:lncRNA from 1 species
ACCUGUAUGCCAUACCAGUAUCUCCACACUCCUUGGUUAAGAGGACAACCAACCCAUAUGGCCUACAGCGACCUAUGCUCGAUAGAAGCUGUCGUCCUUAUUAACAGCCUAUCAUUUGGUCGUGAACAGUUUUAAGGACUAAUCGAUAAAUCCUUUCUUUAUCGAACUUAAAUAGUCCUAAGGACUUCAUCAUAACAAC